GCUGCCGUGGAGGAGUCUCCGUGAGUGAAACACUAGGGUGUAGCUGCAGCCCGCUGGGGGCGGUCCGGAAGGCUGGAGCCUUUCGGUGUCCUUGCGGCAAUUCAAAUAAAGCUUCGUUAUGUUGCCGCUGGACUGUUUCUGUGAAUUCCUUUCGGCUCUGGUGGAGCCCAGCUUCUUCCAGUAAGCCGGAAACAGCAAGGACACCUGCGUGUUGGCCCCGAGGACUCCAGCGCCUCCUCCGUGGGCUGUUGGGAGAGGCCCCUGCGGCUCUGGGACGACUCGGGCCGUGUCCACACUGUUGGAAGAAAAGGAUAUGAAGCACAAGUCCUCUUGGAGCUGGCCAGACUCUCCCUCCAGUACCCUUUCCAAGACUAGGUUGGGGGGCACAGGUAGAGAAGGUAAAAAAGGAAGGACAAACAUUGCAG